UACGUAGGGUGCAAGCGUUAAUCGGAAUUACUGGGCGUAAAGCGUGCGCAGGCGGUUAUGUAAGCCAGAUGUGAAAUCCCCGGGCUUAACCUGGGAAUGGCAUUUGGGACUGCAUGGCUAGAGUGUGGCAGAGGGGGGUGGAAUUCCGCGUGUAGCAGUGAAAUGCGUAGAGAUGCGGAGGAACACCGAUGGCGAAGGCAGCCCCCUGGGUUAACACUGACACUCAUGCGCGAAAGCGUGGGGAGCAAACAGG
rnacentral:rRNA from 1 species